rnacentral:rRNA from 1 species
GCUCAGAAACUCAAAGGCAUUGACGGGGCCCGCACAAGCGGUGGAGUAUGUGGUUUAAUUCGAUGCAACGCGAAGAACCUUACCUGGUCUUGACAUCCCGGAGACCCUUAGGAAACUAGGGGGUGCUUCCAUCUGGAAGAAUCUGGAGACAGGUGCUGCAUGGCUGUCGUCAGCUCGUGUCGUGAGAUGUUGGGUUAAGUCCCGCAACGAGCGCAACCCUUGCCUUUAGUUGCCAGCAGUUCGGCUGGGCACUCUAAAGGGACUGCCGGUGUUAAACCGGAGGAAGGUGGGGAUGACGUCAAGUCCUCAUGGCCUUUAUGACCAGGGCUACACACGUACUACAAUGGCCGAUACAAAGGGCAGCGACACUGCGAGGUGAAGCCAAUCCCGUAAAAUCGGUCUCAGUCCGGAUUGGAGUCUGCAACUCGACUCCAUGAAGUUGGAAUCGCUAGUAAUCGUGGAUCAGCAUGCCACGGUGAAUACGUUCCCGGGCCUU